rnacentral:rRNA from 1 species
UACGUAGGGCGCAAGCGUUAUCCGGAAUUAUUGGGCGUAAAGAGCUCGUAGGCGGUUUGUCGCGUCUGCCGUGAAAGUCCGGGGCUCAACUCCGGAUCUGCGGUGGGUACGGGCAGACUAGAGUGAUGUAGGGGAGACUGGAAUUCCUGGUGUAGCGGUGAAAUGCGCAGAUAUCAGGAGGAACACCGAUGGCGAAGGCAGGUCUCUGGGCAUUAACUGACGCUGAGGAGCGAAAAGCUGGGGAGCGAACAGGGAUU